UACGUAGGGUGCGAGCGUUAAUCGGAAUUACUGGGCGUAAAGCGUGCGCAGGCGGUUUUGUAAGACAGGUGUGAAAUCCCCGGGCUUAACCUGGGAACUGCAUUUGUGACUGCAAGGCUAGAGUAUGGCAGAGGGGGGUAGAAUUCCACGUGUAGCAGUGAAAUGCGUAGAUAUGCGGAGGAACACCGAUGGCGAAGGCAAUCCCCUGGGCCUGCACUGACGCUCAUGCACGAAAGCGUGGGGAGCAAACAGG
rnacentral:rRNA from 1 species